UAUAAGCAACAGAGAGAGAGAGAGAGAGAGAGAGAGAGAAAUUACGGUAGAGAGAGAGAGAGAGAGAGGCAGGAAAGAGACACGGCGGCGAGUCGCGAAAUUCGUCGGAAAAGUUUGGUUGAUAGGAACAGCUACUUGUGAAACUUAUUUAAGGUGUCAAGUGUAUCAUCCAUCAAUGGAAACCGAUUGGGAUUUACAAGUUGUACCGAUUAUUUCACGAUCACCACUUACAAACAUAUUCCCCAGGAUGGGGACCAGUGGUGUUCUUGGUGGUUCUGUUCAGUCAUUUAGCCCGUUAAAUAGUUUCUCUAUGACGAUGAAUUUGGAUCCUAACUGAAAGAUACCCUGUUGUCCGAAGUGUUCGAGUGAAUACGAACAUGAGCUAGCAAAAUUGAAAGAGUUGGAGAAACUGUGCGAUGAGGUUAACAAUAGUCUUCCUCAGUGGCUGCAAAAUGCGAACCCGAAAGAACAAUCUCAGACUAAGGAUCAAGAACUGGUUUUGAAACAAAAGAUUCAAGAGUUGUAAAAGAAAUGGCGCGAUGAGUGCUUUCGAAUUCAUCCUAAUUAUAACCAAUCUUCAAGAUUGGAUAGAAUUACACCCAUGGUUGUACCGUUUGCCGGGGCGGUAAAUUGGAUUUUAAAUAGUGUUUGACUUUAGAAAGUUAUAUCUCCAUUUCAAAAGUUUCAUUUUAAAAUGAUAAUAGUUGGUAAUUGAUGAUAAUCUAGGUGAUGAGGAGGCUGUUGAUGAUAUGGGUUAUAAAGCUUUCGAAAAAUGGAUUAAUGAUAAUUGUGGUCAACUACAGGGAGAUGUGGCAUAUGAAGACUUUGAGGGGCAUAAAGGGACUAUUGGAGCUGGUAAUUUGCAGUGGAUGACUUCUGGAAGAGGAAUUGUGUAUUCUGAAAUACCUGCUUCAAAUGGCACUAAAAAAGGCUUGCAUAUAUGGAUCAACCUAUCCUAUGGAUUAUUUUGUACAGCAAUCUUAUGGCAAUGAAAAACUGUCGUUGAGCAAUUAAAAGCUCAUCAACCAUCUUGGAAUUUCACCGGAGAUUGUUGUUGCUGCUCUUGCGAGAAAGGGUAUUAGUGUGUUGUUUCCUAUUCAGGUUAUUAACUCCUCAGGACACACCUUUGUUUCCAUCUUUGGAUGAUGAAGUGCCACAAGUUAACGUUGCACAAAGGGGUAGACCUAGGACUCAACCAAUUUCGAUUUCAAGAUCAUCGAAUAUGAAGAGCCAUAGAAGCAGUAGAGGCAGUGCAAGCCCGAACCGUGUGAGCCUAUCUCCUCGAUCUCAUAAUAGCGCAUUUGAAUCUUGAGGUGUCCGUGCCAGUGGUGGUGGUGGUGGUAAUCAGCAGUGGCCUCGACGAUAUGCCUGCAGAACUGAAGCACUUGGAACACUAUUACAAGAUAACAACACUUCAAAGAAGGGACGCGAGGAAUGAUACGGACAUCGAACACCUUUUGUACAGUUGCCAAGUAGGAAAAAAGCGCAAUUGUAGGCCAUAGUUCAGCACGCCAUGUCAUCAAGGAAUAUGUCUUUUGCACAACUGAUGUAACUAACAUGCUUAGUGUUAGUAACUUAAGUUUCAACUAUAACACAUGUACAAACCUAGUCAUAAACUCUUGGUUGUAGCCGUGUAGCUCAUGUAUCUAACCUAAUGGAUGUAACUCAAUGACAACAAGCUUAAUAUUUAUAUAUCUAGCCCCCCGCCGCAUCGCGGGGGGUUAC